CAGGUUCAGGAAUCUAGCUAUCGGCGCCUCCUUUACUCGGUUCUUGACUGAGAUGGAUUUCCUUCGUUUCGCAGUUGUCUCAAGAUGAUGUAGCAGCGCUAAGAUCUCCUAGUGAAAUGAAAUGAUGAUGAUGAUGAUGACACGAAAGAGGCUCCAACUGUGCUGUUCCACUACAGAGGUCUUCAUUGAUUGAAAUGUCCACAGUGCAAGGUUUUCUACAUUGGACAGAUAAAGAGAUGCCUUCAAGAGCACUUAGAGGAACACAAGUACACCAUACGGGUAGGCUAUGAAGACUACCCCAUGGCAAGGCACUACAAGUCCUUACACCAUGGCAACCCUACAAGCUAUGGAUGUUGAUCAUGUUUUGGCUUCAAUUAGAAAAGGGGACCGUCUUAAACAGUUAAACCAAAGGGAAUGUUUUUCGAUUUACAAACUACAGGCCACUAAGUACCCUGGUUUAAAUGAAGAUAUGGAUUUACAAACUACAGGCCACUAAAUACCCUGGUUUAAAUGAAGAUAUGGAUUUACAAACUACAGGCCACU